rnacentral:rRNA from 1 species
ACAUGCCUACAUCAUAGUGUUAAUGCAUCAAAUCCCAUUAGAAAUUUGAAGUUAAGCACACUCGGGAUAGAGUAAUACUUGGAUGGGUGACCGCCUGGGAAGUCCUAGUAUUUUACAUGCC